GCGGGCGGUGCCACUGUCUUGGUACCUGCGGUAGUAGCCUGGCUUUGCUCUGACGGCGAUCUCGCGGCCCGAGAGCCUUUUAUAGACAGCUCCUUCAGUGUCUCUGUUUCCAAACCGCAACCGAGAAGAGACAGACGGAGAAAAGAGAGUUACUUUUCCAGGUUGCUUUUCCCGGGGAUGUGAAGGAUACAGAAAUGACUGUGAAUCAACCCAUAUCAUCAAGGAGCUGAUAAUCUAGUGGAAGAGUUAGACGUGUGCAUACUUCACUAUGAUAUGAGGCAGUCUCUGAGCUUAUAUUCUCUGUGGAAGAUGUGACAUAUCCAGGCGGAACAUCAUGAUGCAGGGAAACACAUGAGUCCCCACUUCCAUAUAGCAUCACAUCAGCGUUAUGAUUUCAUCAGCAGGAAUUUUGGGAUGGACACAAACAUUCGAAUGUCGUUCCACCCGGGACGAGGGUGUCCCCGAGGACGAGGAGGACAUGGAGCCAGACCCUCAGCACCAUCCUUUAGGCCCCAAAAUCUGAGGCUGCUUCACCCUCAGCAGCCUCCUGUGCAAUAUCAAUAUGAACCUCCAAGUGCCCCUU
rnacentral:lncRNA from 10 species